GAUAAAGCGGGUGAAAAGCCCGCUCGCCGGAAGACCAAGGGUUCCUGUCCAACGUUAAUCGGGGCAGGGUGAGUCGACCCCUAAGGCGAGGCCGAAAGGCGUAGUCGAUGGGAAACAGGUUAAUAUUCCUGUACUUGGUGUUACUGCGAAGGGGGGACGGAGAAGGCUAUGUCAGCCGGGCGACGGUCGUCCCG
rnacentral:rRNA from 1 species